AUGAAGCCACAGAUUUGUCAAAGCCUGGUGCUUGGGAAGACAGAGGCAGAGGAUACAGCUUCACAGGAGCUUGCAAGAGCAAAACCCCCAUCUCUUAAUGAGACUGGAGCUUCAGGAAGAAGUUCCCUUGCUUCACAGAGCACUGGAGACUGCAGGAGGAAGCAGUGAGGAGAUGGUAUCAAUCAGAGUUGAAGUUCUUCCAAGGAUUUCCUAAAUGUGACUGGAACAUGCUGGAUCCUCACCCAAUAAGUCUGGACUGCUAAUCUAAAGAAAUGGUACCAUCUAGAGAGGCCAGGAGGCCACCCUCAGGAAUAUUAAUUUUCUCUUUCAUUGAGGUACUAUUGGAUCUAAUCAGUAAUGUGGGGAAGUUCCA
rnacentral:lncRNA from 1 species